rnacentral:rRNA from 1 species
GAUGAACGCUGGCGGCGUGCUUAACACAUGCAAGUCGAACGGUUAAACCGCCUUCGGGCGGAUAUACAGUGGCGGACGGGUGAGUAACACGUGACCAACCUGCCCACCGCUCCGGGAUAACGCGGGGAAACCCGCGCUAAUACCGGGUACUCCGGUGCGGGCGCAUGCCCGCGCCGGGAAAGCCCAGGCGGCGGUGGAUGGGGUCGCGGCCCAUCAGGUAGUUGGGGGGUAACGGCCCACCAAGCUUACGACGGGUAGCCGGGCUGAGAGGCCGAUCGGCCACAUUGGGACUGAGACACGGCCCAGACUCCUACGGGAGGCAGCAGUGGGGAAUUUUGCGCAAUGGAGGCAACUCUGACGCAGCAACGCCGCGUGCGGGAUGAA